UGGCUCAAUUGGUUGAGUGUCUGAUUUUGGCUCAGGUCAUGAUCACAAGGUUCGUGGGUUCAAACCCCAC
rnacentral:tRNA from 1 species